GACAGAGGUGCCGAGCGUUAGGCGGAAUCACUGGGCUUAAAGCGUGUGUAGGCGGAUCGUUAAGUGCCUUGUGAAAUCCCACGGCUCAACCGUGGAACUGCUUGGCAUACUGGCGAUCUUGAGCCACUUAGGGGCUACCGGAACAAAUGGUGGAGCGGUGAAAUGCGUAGAUAUCAUUUGGAACGCCAAUGGUGAAAACAGGUAGCUGGGAGUGUGCCGACGCUGAGACACGAAAGCCAGGGGAGCGAACGGG
rnacentral:rRNA from 1 species